AUCAGGUGUCGAUGACUUAAUAAGGAAGUCCGGUGAAAUGCCGGUGCGGUCCCGCCACUGUAUCAGCGAGCGAAUCUGCCCUGUGCCCUGCGGGCGCGGAGAAAUGUCACUGGGGGAAACCCUGGGAAGGCGCAGAGGAGCGAUGACCUGGAGCCAGGAGAAUUGCCUGAUU
rnacentral:ncRNA from 1 species